rnacentral:rRNA from 1 species
UACAGAGGGGGCAAGCGUUAUUCGGAAUUAUUGGGCGUAAAGGGCGCGUAGGCGGCCACCGCAAGUCGGUUGUGAAAUCUCUGGGCUUAACCCAGAAAGGUCAACCGAUACUGCGGGGCUAGAGUGCAGAAGGGGCAACUGGAAUUCUCGGUGUAGCGGUGAAAUGCGUAGAUAUCGAGAGGAACACCUGCGGCGAAGGCGGGUUGCUGGGCUGACACUGACGCUGAAGCGCGAAAGCUAGGGGAGCGAACGGG